AACGAACGCUGGCGGCAUGCCUAACACAUGCAAGUCGAACGAGACCUUCGGGUCUAGUGGCGCACGGGUGCGUAACGCGUGGGAACCUGCCCUUAGGUUCGGAAUAACUCCCCGAAAGGGGUGCUAAUACCGGAUAAUGUCUUCGGACCAAAGAUUUAUCGCCUUUGGAUGGGCCCGCGUUGGAUUAGCUAGUUGGUAGGGUAAAAGCCUACCAAGGCGACGAUCCAUAGCUGGUCUGAGAGGAUGAUCAGCCACACUGGGACUGAGACACGGCCCAGACUCCUACGGGAGGCAGCAGUGGGGAAUAUUGGACAAUGGGCGAAAGCCUGAUCCAGCAAGGCCGCGUGAGUGAUGAAGGCCUUAGGGUUGUAAAGCUCUUUUACCCGGGAUGAUAAUGACAGUACCGGGAGGAUAAGCUCCGGCUAACUCCGUG
rnacentral:rRNA from 1 species